rnacentral:tRNA from 2 species
GCUCCCGUAGUUCAAUGGAUAGAGCGGCGGUCUCCGAAGCCGCAAAUUUGAGUUCGAAUCUCAACGGGAGCACCA